rnacentral:rRNA from 1 species
UACGUAGGGUGCAAGCGUUACUCGGAAUUACUGGGCGUAAAGCGCGUGUAGGCGGUUCUGUAAGUCUGAUGUGAAAUCCCUGAACUCAAUUUAGGACGUGCAUUGGAUACUGCAAAACUAGAGUAUGGGAGAGGUGGGUGGAAUUCCUGGUGUAGAGGUGAAAUUCGUAGAUAUCAGGAGGAACAACAGAAGCGAAGGCGACUCACUGGACCAUUACUGACGCUGAGACGCGAAAGCGUGGGUAGCAAACAGG